rnacentral:rRNA from 1 species
AUUGAACGCUGGCGGCAUGCCUUACACAUGCAAGUCGAACGGCAGCGCGGGAGCAAUCCUGGCGGCGAGUGGCGAACGGGUGAGUAAUAUAUCGGAACGUGCCCAGUAGUGGGGGAUAGCCCGGCGAAAGCCGGAUUAAUACCGCAUGAGACCUGAGGGUGAAAGCGGGGGAUCGCAAGACCUCGCGCUAUUGGAGCGGCCGAUAUCAGAUUAGCUAGUUGGUGGGUAAAGGCCUACCAAGGCAACGAUCUGUAGUUGGUCUGAGAGGACGACCAGCCACACUGGGACUGAGACACGGCCCAGACUCCUACGGGAGGCAGCAGUGGGGAAUUUUGGACAAUGGGCGCAAGCCUGAUCCAGCAAUGCCGCGUGCAGGAAG